GAGCUUCCUUGGUGUCCUGCUUUGCUGUCAUUGGGGCCCCUUGCUGGUAGCUCUGCAGGAAACAACUGCAAACCUGCUCCUCUCCUGUCUCCAGACCAAGGGACCAAGGUCCACCUACACCCCAGAUAGAGAGCUGUCAGUCUCCCUCCGGUGUUCUCCCUCCCUCCUUCCCACAUCCAGCCAGUCUCCAAGGCCUCCUGGGACACCUGAGCCCAGUUCCCUUCCCUCCAACCCCACGGCCACUCUCUAGGGUGAGCUGAACCCAAUGAGCUUCCCUGCUCCCAGGCCUACUUCCCUCCAUUCUCCAUCAGCAGCUGGAGGGAUCUUCUAAAAACAAAGUUCUUAGUGUACUUCUCACUUUCUCAAAAUCCUUGUUCCAAAAUCUCACGUGACUCAGAGAGCACCCACAGCGGCCCCGAACCUGGGCAGCACCUCCUCACUGGCUCUUGCUGGAGGCAGCCUCACCAGCAGGCCUCUUUCAGCUCCCUGAGCAUCCAGAGACCCGCCUUGCCCUGCACUGUGUGCUCUGAACGUUAGAGGCACCUACCUCCCCAGAGCUCUCCUCUGUGUGGACGUCGGGCGGCUGCGGGAGGGACCAGCCACGUGCUGUCCACGGUCAGUGGCCUUCUUCCGGGGACGGAGACGGCGGGAGAGUCUGCCUGCAGAACUCCGCUGCCAGAGGGCUUGGAGUGCUCCCCGGGAUCUGGCACCUGCUUCUCCUCUGCCCCUCACUCCGACUUCUGCCUGCAAGAAAAGCAGGGAAGAGGCUCAGAAAGCCCUUCAGACUUGGAGCUGUUUCACGGCGAUGACUGAAUCACCAAACAAAGGGGCUGGCAGGGCCAUGGCGAGAGGCAUCUCCAGGGAAUCUCACACACAGCCCACACCGCUCCCCCUCCUGCACUGCCCGGCAGUGACCUCCAGGAAAGGGGUACAGCCCACUGUACCAGCUUUGCUCUCGGGACCCUCGCAGUCUCUGGCUUUGUGACUCUGGGCCGGCUCUGUGCCCUCCGGGGCCUCUUCAUCCUUGUCAGGCCAGUGGGGACCACAGAAGCCUCAUCGAUUUCUUAUGAAAAUUAAAUAGGAUUCAUGGUGAGGGAAGCUUCUGUAAGGCAGAAAGGGAUCCACAGGUGUUGCUACUAGUGUUAUUUUCUUUUAAAUCAUUUCCGCUCCUUCAAAGAUGACAUAAGAAGCAUGCACCCUGGAAACCCAGAAAUCUUUGGCUGUAGGGGUUAAACCUACAUGUCUCCCUGAUAGGGUGGUGAGAAGGUACAUGGUGACUAGUGCCGGCCAUGGAGCAUGGCAGAGAAAUCAAAGGUGUGAUUGACAUGCUGCCACAUGUGUGCAAAGGGCCAGGAGACAAAUACUUUUGCCUAAGUGCCCUCAGCAGAACACAUAAAUGAAAUCAAAAAAGGUGGCUCAGAGUGUUCUAGAAUCUUCCAUUUCUGCUUUCUUGGUGGAAACUAAGCCUCAAAACAAACAUGUGCCUCAGGUUGACGGGAUCUUGUCUACCAAGCCUGUCUACCCCUAAGAAUUGGUUAUCUAUUGCUGCAUUGUUCACUCCUCUUCUCGGUCUAUGUGGCUUUGAACACCAUCCUCAUGCCACUGACUCCAAAAUUCACAUCGCAGGUUCAACCACUCCCCUGACCCCAAAACUCACAUAGGUUCUGUCCACAGAACCUCUCUUCUCAGUUGCCCA
rnacentral:lncRNA from 13 species